UCCAGACAAAUAAACAUGGAGUCCAUCUUCCACGAGAAACAAGAAGGCUCACUUUGUGCUCAGCAUUGCCUGAAUAACUUAUUGCAAGGAGAAUAUUUUAGCCCUGUGGAAUUAUCCUCAAUUGCACAUCAGCUGGAUGAGGAGGAGAGGAUGAGAAUGGCAGAAGGAGGAGUUACUAGUGAAGAUUAUCGCACGUUUUUACAGCAGCCUUCUGGAAAUAUGGAUGACAGUGGUUUUUUCUCUAUUCAGGUUAUAAGCAAUGCCUUGAAAGUUUGGGGUUUAGAACUAAUCCUGUUCAACAGUCCAGAGUAUCAGAGGCUCAGGAUCGAUCCUAUAAAUGAAAGAUCAUUUAUAUGCAAUUAUAAGGAACACUGGUUUACAGUUAGAAAAUUAGGAAAACAGGUCCCUAUAUAAUGAAAAAGAAGGCUGGAAAAAGAUUGUCAAAAUCCAGGAAAAAUAGUUGGUCAUGAUAUUGAUCGUUAACUUUAGAAACUUUUUGUAUCUUGUGGGUUAAAUUAGGAUUACUAUGUGGUAGUGAUAAAUGAUGUUAAUUAGGGCCGAGUGCAGUGGCUAACACCUGUAAU
rnacentral:sRNA from 1 species